GGGAGCCCGCCAGCCCCUGGCAAAGCAGAGGAGCUGAAGGGGAACCCUGGGAAGCUGCCCCCCUCCCGCCGGGGCCGGAGGAGGAAGGGCAGCACCCCCCGGCCCAGCACCCGCCUGGAGACGCCGCGAGCAAGGGGCCCAAGCGCCGAGCCAGGCUCCGUCCCCACUGUAAGUACCACCUGCCUGUCUGUGCCGAG